rnacentral:rRNA from 1 species
UCCGCAAGGGGUGGCGCACGGCUCAGUAACACGUAGUCAACCUACCCUAGGGACGGGGAUAACCUCGGGAAACUGAGGCUAAACCCCGAUAGGCUAUAGCCUCCGGAAUGAGCUAUAGCUGAAAUCUAUAUGGCCCUAGGAUGGGACUGCGGCCGAUCAGGUAGUUGGUGGGGUAAUGGCCCACCAAGCCUAUAACCGGUGCGGGCUCUGAGAGGAGGAGCCCGGAGAUGGGCACUGAGACAAGGGCCCAGGUCCUAUGGGGCGCAGCAGGCGCGAAACCUCCGCAAUGGGCGAAAGCCCGACGGGGUUAGUCCGAGUGGUCCCUGCUGAAGGGGCCUUUUGCCAGCUGUAAAAAGGCUGGAGAAUAAGGGGUGGGCAAGUUUGGUGUCAGCCGCCGCGGUAAUACCAGCACCCCGAGUGGUCGGGACGAUUAUUGGGCCUAAAGCAUCCGUAGCCGUCUUAGCAAGUCUUCCGUUAAAUCCAACGGCUUAACCGUUGGGCUGCGGAGGAUACUGCUAAGCUAGGGGGCGGGAGAGGCGAGGGGUAUUCCCAGGGUAGGGGUAAAAUCCGUUGAUCCUGGGAGGACCACCA